GCUGCUGUGGCUCAGGUGGUUAUACCGUCACUGUGUUAUGGUGCUGGCGCAAGUUCGAUUCCGGUGGUCAGUA